CGCCGCGGCUAGACCACCGGGCUCAAGUUGAUAAAAAUCGGCGUUAAGCGUGGUUAAAGGAACACAAAAUUAGAGUUAAAUUUAAACUUAGCUGUGAAAAGCUUGUCACCUAGAAAACCAAAAACGAAAGUUACUCUAACAAACACUUGAAUACACGACAGCUUGGACA
rnacentral:rRNA from 1 species